rnacentral:misc_RNA from 1 species
UGGAUCCUUUUUUGAAUUUGAAGAUCAAGAACAUGAUAAUAAAUCGAACGAGUCAUCAACAAUCAAUCUCUACUCAGCUAUCAAGAUGUUGAUCGAAAGAAAUUGGGCAUUUAGACGACUUAUAUCGGUUAUGUUGGUUGGUUUUGGCAUAGGAAUGGUAUAUUAUGGGAUGCCAUUAGGUGUAGGAAAUUUACCUUUUAAUCUAUACCUAAGUGUUACACUUAAUGCACUAUCAGAAUUACCAGCAUCCAUAGUAACAUUUUUCCUAAUUGGAAAAUUAACUAGGAAAAAAUCACUAUUAGCAUUUGCUAUGUUAAGUG